rnacentral:rRNA from 1 species
CGUGUGGUUCUAUUUUGUUGGUUUCUAGAGUCGCCGUAAUGAUUAAUAGGGAUAGUUGGGGGCAUUGGUAUUGAGUCGCUAGAGGUGAAAUUCUUGGAUUGACUCAAGACCGACUAUUGCGAAAGCAUUUGCCAAGGAUGUUUUCAUUAAUCAAGAACGAAGGUUAGGGGAUCGAAAACGAUCAGAUACCGUUGUAGUCUUAACAGUAAACUAUGCCGACUAGGGAUCGGGCAACCUCAAUUAUGAUGUGUUGCUCGGCACCUUACGAGAAAUCAAAGCCUUUGGGUUCUGGGGGGAGUAUGGUCGCAAGGCUGAAACUUAAAGGAAUUGACGGAAGGGCACCACCAGGUGUGGAGCCUGCGGCUUAAUUUGACUCAACACGGGGAAACUCACCAGGUCCAGACACGAUGAGGAUUGACAGAUUGAGAGCUCUUUCUUGAUUUCGUGGGUGGUGGUGCAUGGCCGUUCUUAGUUGGUGGAGUGAUUUGUCUGCCUAAUCGCGAUAACGAACGAGACCUUAACCUGCUAAAUAGCCCGCAUUACUUCGGUAGUGUGCCGGCUUCUUAGAGGGACUAUCGGCUCAAGCCGAUGGAAGUUUGAGGCAAUAACAGGUCUGUGAUGCCCUUAGAUGUUCUGGGCCGCACGCGCGUUACACUGACAGAGCCAGCGAGUUCUUCCUUGGCCGAAAGGCCCGGGUAAUCUUGUUAAACUCUGUCGUGC